rnacentral:rRNA from 1 species
CCUACGGGUGGCUGCAGUGGGGAAUAUUGGACAAUGGGCGAAAGCCUGAUCCAGCCAUGUCGCGUGUGUGAAGAAGGCCUUCGGGUUGUAAAGCACUUUCAGUGGGGAAGAAAGCCUUGGGGCUAAUACCCUCGAGGAAGGACAUCACCCACAGAAGAAGCACCGGCUAACUCCGUGCCAGCAGCCGCGGUAAUACGGAGGGUGCGAGCGUUAAUCGGAAUUACUGGGCGUAAAGCGCGCGUAGGCGGUCUGAUAAGCCGGUUGUGAAAGCCCCGGGCUCAACCUGGGAACGGCAUCCGGAACUGUCAGGCUAGAGUGCAGGAGAGGAAGGUAGAAUUCCCGGUGUAGCGGUGAAAUGCGUAGAGAUCGGGAGGAAUACCAGUGGCGAAGGCGGCCUUCUGGACUGACACUGACGCUGAGGUGCGAAAGCGUGGGUAGCAAACAGGAUUAGAUACCCCGGUAGUC